UAUAUCUGCAAAAGAAAGAAUUUAUGAAAUUUUAUGAAUUAAACAGAAAUAAAGUAGCAUCAUGAGAGAUAAACGAUUUCUACUAGUUCGAUGAAUGUCAGUUUCUUUAAAUUUUAGUUUUCUGAAGAAGUCCCGAAGAUAGGCUACUUCGGGUUGAUUUACGAUUGUACGAAAGUAUACAACAUCUGUGGGGGAGAUGGAAGAAUAAAAAAAGAAUAAAUACGAGUGCUACCAGAUUCCAACCAACCGAGAAAAUGCGCAUAGAAACCGCUGUUUACACCAUGCAUAAACGGUGGAUGGCACUUAAGAUGUCGUUUAAACACAGACAGGAAACACGUGAAGACACUGACACGACGUAAUGGUGCCGGCCGAUAUAAAGUUCCUAAAGUCUCCAUUAGUCCAGUAUAAGAUGCAGGUGUGUGU